rnacentral:rRNA from 1 species
UACGUAGGUGGCAAGCGUUUGUCCGGAUUUACUGGGCGUAAAGAGCGCGCAGGCGGUCGUUCAAGUCGCGUGUGAAAGCCCCCGGCUCAACUGGGGAGGGUCACGCGAUACUGAUCGACUCGAAGGCAGGAGAGGGUAGUGGAAUUCCCGGUGUAGUGGUGAAAUUCGUAGAUAUCGGGAGGAACACCUGUGGCGAAGGCGGCCAUCUGGACAACUACUGACACUGAGACGCGAAAGCGUGGGUAGCAAACAGG